rnacentral:rRNA from 1 species
UACGGGGGGGGCAAGCGUUGUUCGGAAUUACUGGGCGUAAAGGGCUCGUAGGUGGCUAACUAAGUCAGACGUGAAAUCCCUCGGCUUAACCGGGGAACUGCGUCUGAUACUGGAUGGCUUGAGUUCGGGAGAGGGAUGCGGAAUUCCAGGUGUAGCGGUGAAAUGCGUAGAUAUCAGGAGGAACACCAAUGGCGAAGGCAGCUCGCUGGAACGGUACUGACGCUGAGGCGCGAAAGCGUGGGGAGCGAACAGG